AGAGCUCAUUCUGUGUUCAAGUCUCGAACGAGCAACAGCUCCCAAAAUUAUUUGUGCUAAAAAAAUAUUAAAUAAAAAUUUCGUCAAAAAAAAAUUAAAGUGAAAAAAUAUAAAAAAUUUGAAAUCCCAAAAUUAUUUGUGCUAAAAAAUAUUAAAUUUCGACAAAAAAAAUUAAAGUGAAAAAAAAUUAAAAAUUGAAAAUCCCAAAAUUAUUUGUGCUAAAAAAUAUUAAAUUUCGACAAAAAAAAUUACAGUGAAAAAAAAAAAUUUAAAACUAUUCGCAUCUAGUGUGCCUUGAUUUUGGAUUAGAAAUACAGGAGCUUAUAAAUUUCUAGUUUUUAAAUAGAGGGCUCAAUCAGAAAAAGGAUAAUUCGGAACUCCAACUUAUUUUAAAUAAAUGGUUGGAGAUGCCUCCUUCUGUUACAUACAUUUGCUGCCGCAGAAAAUUAUAAUGCAGUUUUACAAGAAAUCCAAACCCAAAGAU